GUUUGAGGGAUUUUGUGAAGGCACAGUACCCUCUAGGUCCUGUUUGGAGUGCCACAGGGAAAACAGUUGCUAGUGCUACACCCAAAGCUCCUACAACUAGAGCUCCUGCUCCUCCACCUCCUCCCCCUGCUUCUCUCUUCACUUCCGAAGCUCCUCAGCCUUCUUCAUCUCGACCAAAGGUGGGGAUGUCUGCUGUUUUUCAAGAGAUCAGUUCUGGGAAGCCUGUGACUUCUGGUAAGUUUCAUCUUUCCAUUGUUGCUUGCUUUCAUAGAUACUAUUUGCUAAGAACAUUUUUUUAAAUUUUAAUAUUAUGAUAAUCUGACUCUUUGCUCUUCAGGAUUAAGAAAGGUAACAGAUGAUAUGAAGACAAAGAACCGCGCAGAUAGAGCUGGUGUUGUUGCUGCUAAUGAAAAAAGCAGCCACGCUACCUCAUCUUCCUUCUCCAAAACUGCACCUCCCAAGUUGGAGCUCCAAAUGGGUCGCAAGUGAGUACUGAUUCAUUUUUAUAAUUCAGUCUGUAACUUAAAUAAAAGGUCUGGGUGGUGAAUUACGCUGCAUAAUUGGCAGGUGGGUUGUAGAGUACCAGAUUGGUAAGAAGAAUUUAGUAAUUGAUGACUGUGACGCAAAGCAAACUGUAUAUAUCUUCGGAUGCAAAGAUUCUGUUCUCCAGAUACAAGGUCUAGAUCUCUUGUCAGAGACAUUUAUAUGUGCCUCAAAAUUAAAACCUGCUUUCAAAUAGUCCACUUGGCUGAUAUUUAGGAUAUCAUGAUUAGCUUAUGUUUCCGGUGACGAUAUGCAGGAAAGGUUAACAACAUAACCAUAGACAAGUGCACUAAGAUGGGGGUUGUAUUCAAGGUCAGUGCAAUUAAUAUCUGAAAGUCGCAGGUUUAUUGUUAAUAUGAAGGCUUACUUUUGUGACAAUUUUGUGGCAGGAUGUGGUUGCUGCUUGUGAGAUUGUUAACUGCAAUGGUGUUGAGGUGCAAUGCCAGGUAUCUCCUUUUACCAGUGUUAUUAUUUUAUGUUGGAUGUGGAAUGAUGAAUGUUGGUUGUGGAAAUUUUUUAAGGCGGACUUUUUUAAUUGGUACACACAGUUACUGCAUGUUGAUUUAGAUGUUCAAGUGACCAGAGUAGAAUGGAGUAGUUGCAGUUUGCUUUGCUGCAACAUUAUAAUGGUUUAGGUUAUACUAAAACUUUUUGUCAUUUGUUGGUUGCUAUUUAGGGUUCAGCACCUACGAUUUCAGUAGACAAUACAGGAGGAUGCCAAUUAUAUCUAAGCAAAGAUUCUUUGGGUGCUUCUAUAACGACAGCCAAGUCGAGUGAGAUUAAUGUAUUAGUUCCUGGUGCUGGUGCUGGCGAUGACUGGGUAUAUUCCUUAUCUUCUUUUUGUUUUCCUAUAAUCACACAUGCCAUUGGCAUCUCACCCAAGUAUCUCCUUGAAAAAAAGAAGGCCAUAAGAAACAGAUAGUGAUAGGCUUUAGAGCCACAAUGAAUCUGUACUAAACUAUAAUAACCGGACAUAGGGAUAAUUUGUAGUUUGGUUUGAUAUUUUGGUCAUUUCUGAAUUACUCUUUUCUCUGCCUUAUUUUAAAAAACAAACAAAAAAAUUAUAUAAACUAUGAGACAUAUAUACCAACAUGUCUCCUGUUAUUUCUAACGUGUUCCACUCCAAGACAAACAUGAAACCAUCAUCUAAUUCUUCUGAACUCUAACUUUUCUAAUCCAAGACAAACAUGAAACCAUCAUGUAAUUGAUCCAAGAUAAAUAAUAUCCUUUUGCUUACAAAUUAAGAAAUUGAAAGUAUGAUUUAAAAUUAAUCAAAAAAACAUAAUAAAUAAAUAAACCUACUCUCAUUAACACAUAUUAUUAUUAGGAAAACAUUUAUAGAUAAAUGACAAAAAUGUAUAUCGUUUCUACAACCCAUUUACAAUAUAAUAAAAACAUUGUAAAAAUUAAAUCUCUAAGAGAAAAUAUAAUCAAUCGGUUAAUAACAUUUAAUCAAAUUUCAGUAGAGUAUCGUUAAAUUCCUCCUGCAAAAAAAAGAAAACGAGUGGGCAUCCAACAAUACUAAACCACUAAUGGAAAUGAUGUUAAAAAUUAGAUUAUUAAUAUUAAUUUUUGAAGUAUAUAUUCGCCCAUGCUUCGUGCCAGUUGAAGACUAUUAUAAAUUAAUAGUAAUGCUAUGAGAGUUGACUUGCAAGUGAAUCAACUCUAAAGUAAGAUUCCUGUUAACAUAUUUGUUGUAUUUCUUUUCAGCCUUUUUUUUAAUGGUUCAAAUUACUUGGUACUUUAAGUACAAAAACACUACUGAAAUCUACUAAAGCAGUGAUGUGCUUGUGUACUAAUGAUCUAGUUGUAAGCUGUACAAGAUAGUGUGUUCUUGUUAGUGCUUCAUGACUGAAGAUAAUUUUAGUUCAAAGUAGAUUAAUGGUUUAUCCUCUCUUAACCUCUGGUAGCAUGCUUUUGUUGUUGGCAAAGGAAGAGGUCCCUAAUGCUACAACCAUAGUAUUUAGAAGUUGGUUAUGGAUUGAUUGCAUGAUUGUAUACCUUNACAUGGUCAUUUCACAAGUUAAUCAGGUGUUUAAUGCCUGUAUUUCUGUAUUGCAUUGUUCAAGGUUCUCGUUGAGUACAGAAACAAAGACCCAACCCAUGUGGAGUGGGCAAAAGCUUUGAAGGAGCUCUAUGUACCAGGUUUGAGGGAUUUUGUGAAGGCACAGUACCCUCUAGGUCCUGUUUGGAGUGCCACAGGGAAAACAGUUGCUAGUGCUACACCCAAAGCUCCUACAACUAGAGCUCCUGCUCCUCCACCUCCUCCCCCUGCUUCUCUCUUCACUUCCGAAGCUCCUCAGCCUUCUUCAUCUCGACCAAAGGUGGGGAUGUCUGCUGUUUUUCAAGAGAUCAGUUCUGGGAAGCCUGUGACUUCUGGUAAGUUUCAUCUUUCCAUUGUUGCUUGCUUUCAUAGAUACUAUUUGCUAAGAACAUUUUUUUAAAUUUUAAUAUUAUGAUAAUCUGACUCUUUGCUCUUCAGGAUUAAGAAAGGUAACAGAUGAUAUGAAGACAAAGAACCGCGCAGAUAGAGCUGGUGUUGUUGCUGCUAAUGAAAAAAGCAGCCACGCUACCUCAUCUUCCUUCUCCAAAACUGCAC
rnacentral:lncRNA from 1 species